rnacentral:misc_RNA from 1 species
UGAUUUAGUGGAGCUUAACUUGAAUGCUCGGAUAGUUGGUAAUUGCCUUAUAAGUUUUGGUGUGGUUUUCCGAGAUGUAAGUGGUGCAAUUUUAACGUCAGCUUCGAAGAUAGUGGAAGGCAGUUGGGAUAUGGUAGUUACUGAAGGUCUUUGGCUGACUAUUGAUUUGAGUUUUUAUCGUCUCGUGGCUGAAUCUGAUUGCAAAUCACUGAUUGAUCAGUUGAG